CGGGAAUAGCUCAAAUUUGAAAUCUGGCAUCCUUCGGGUGUCCGAGUUGUAAUCUAUAGAAGUGUUUUCUGUGCUGGCUUGUGUCCAAGUCCCUUGGAAAAGGGCAUCAAAGAGGGUGAAAAUCCCGUCCUUGACACAAUUACCAGUGCUCUGUGAUACACUUUCUAC
rnacentral:rRNA from 1 species